UGCACUUUUCAAAGCUGUUGUGCUGAGCAGUAUUUUAUUUACUAAGCAUCCCAAAAGUUGGUGAAAAAUCUUACAUUGAAACUACGGGUGGGAGAAGAGAAAGAAGGGGUAGGAUACUCACAGGAUAAUGGAAAAGUGUAUCUUUUUAUUUUCAUUCCUUCCAAUAUAAUAAGACCGCACUUAUUUAAAAUCUCUCCUCCUUCUCCUCUCCUUUCUCCUUCUUUUCCUUGUUAUCAUCUACCUCUUCUUGUGGAAGAGAACUGCCGGGCACAAGAAAGAAAUUGAGACCCGAUGAAAAUAUGUAGCUCAGCUUGCAAAGCAGUGGCAUGUAACAAAAGGCAAAGUCGUAUUAAAUUCAAAAAUAAAAUCAUUAAAACCUCUAGGAUCAUCGUGUUAACUGAAGAAAAGUUCAAUAUUUGUUAUUUCAGAGAUGGUUUUCCCUAUGAUUUCAAGAAGUGAAAUCAGCUUCAGUACCUACAGACUAUACACCUACAGAAGUAUAAAUACUGAACUAAAGGAAAUCUUUCUAACCUUUCAAUCUAACAGUUCUUUGCAGAAAUCCCAAAUUGAGGGUGAGGUGAAGAGUAAUGUACUCAAAAAUAUACUAGACUUCUAGAAGAGGUGGUGGCGGCGACAGAUAUGGAGCAAGAGUACUCAUUUCAAUUGCAAAUAAAUGAUCAAAGCACAAAUAAUAUUUUCAAUGAGGAAAUCUUGGAAUGAAUAUCCCUUAGAUUGGGAAAAUGUUCGGUGCUUACUAUAUUAGACACAUUCCGUUUUUUUUUUUUUUAAUUUUUUUUUUAAAUAGACAGUUAACAGCCUGGUCAACAUUUUACGUAAAUUAUCUUGGCGACGUCCUUUGGAAGCGUUUACUAAAACACUUCCUAUCAUUAAUCUUAAACCACUUGAAGAUUAUGGUGGGAAGAAUGGGAUCACUAACCAUUGUCAUCUCAAAUGGCUUUUAAGACUGUCUGCUUUUUAUUGUGGCAACAAAAAUCAGCUCACAACUGGAAAUUUUCUUUCUUUUUUUUCAUCUAUUUUGUUUGAUUUUGCUCUGUGUGUAAAAAAAAAAAAAAAAAGGACAACAUAUCAAAAAAAAAAAAAAAAUACGAACCAAGGCGCCCUGGUAUAGCGAUUGGAAAAUUGGCUGCUAAGCUCCUGACACUUCCGCUGGUAUCUUUCUACUUUGCAUCAAGAGAAAUGAAGAUCAGAAAAUUGCAACAGAAAAAUAGGAUCCUCAAAGCAAGGUUCGAAUGCAAUUAGAAGGAGAGGACAGAACUGACCGCUGGAAUGAAUUUGAGCUCCAGGGACAGGAGAAGACUGGCAGAGACAAGCUGAAAUAUGAGCUAAAUCUGUUCUGCGAGAUGCACAGGGGGAUGGGGGAUUGGAGGUGGAAGGUUGAGUGUUGGUACAGACUGUAAAAAGACCUCUGCAUUAAAAAACCAAACUUU